AGUGUGAUUGCUGGGCCAUACGGUAAGUGUGUGUUUAAAUUUAUGAGAAAUUACCAAACUGUUUUCCAGAGUGUCUGUACCGUUUUACAUUCCCACCAGUAGU
rnacentral:pre_miRNA from 1 species